CUUGCUCUUGUAUGUGGAUGACAUACUGCUUGCCACUAAUGAUGUGGGUACCUUGUUAGAAACCAAGACAUUUCUAUCCAGUAAUUUUGAAAUGAAGGAUCUUGGUGAAGCUUCAUUUGUAUUAGGAAUCCAGAUACACCGAGACAGAUCUCGGGGUAUUCUUGGAUUAUCACAAAAGAGCUAUAUAGAAAAGGUGCUCAAAAGGUAUGGCAUGCAGGACUGUAAAGUAAUGGAUACUCCAGUUGCUAAGAGAGACAAAUUUAGUCUCAGUCAGUGCCCUAAAGGAAAUCUGUAAAUUCAGGAAAUAUAAAAGAUCCCUUAUGCAUCAGCUGUAGGGAGUCUUAUGUAUGCUCAAGUAUGUACGCGUCCAGAUAUAUAUGUACGCGUCCGGAUAUAGCGUUCAUAGUUGGGGUUUUAGGCAGAUAUAUGAGUAAUCCAGGAAUGGACCAUUGGAAAGCAGCCAAAGGGGUCAUGAGGUACUUAAAGAGAACAAAAGACUAUAUGCUCACAUAUAGGAGAUCAGACCAAUUAGAGAUCAUUGGGUAUUCUGACUCCGAUUUUGCGGGAUGCCAAGAUAGUAGACGAUCUACUUCAGGCUAUGUUUUUCUGUUAGCUGGUGGUGCGGUUUCUCGGCAUUCUGCCAAGCAAAACCUUGUAGCUUCAUCCACCAUGGCAGCAGAAUAUAUAGCAUGUUAUGAGGCAUCACUUCAGUCAUCAUGGUUGAGAAAUUUUGUCACUGGGCUGCGGAUUGUGGAAAGGAUUGAAAGACCACUAAAGUUAUACUGUGACAAUAAUUCAGCCGUUUUGUUCUCCAACAACAAUAUGAGUUCGGCAAAGUCGAAACAUAUCGACAUUAAGUUCCUAGUUUUUAAGGAGAAGGUACAGAGUGGACAGCUUUCCAUAGAACAUUUAGGCAGUAACUACAUGAUUGCGGAUCCUCUUACAAAGGCUAUCACACCCAAGGUCUUUCAUGAGCAUUUUGCUCACAUGGGUGUUCUACAGUGUGAGGAUAUUUUGGUUUAGUGGGAGUUAGAUUGUGCACAACUUUUAUCAUGUUCUAUGUAAUUUCAGUAUUUUGUAUGAAUACUUUGUAUUCAAACUUCAGUUGAUUAAUCAUUCAGUUUGGUAUUCUGUCAUUAUACUUUGUACAAUAAAGUUUUUAUGUUAUUGUUAAGGAUCUCACUAAAGUUAAGUAGGACCAGUUGAAAAUUGACAUGUACAGAUCAUAUUCAUGUAAUUUUCAUGCUACACAUUUCAUGAUGUAUCUAUGUCAUUUAGUUGUGUCAAUGUUGGUGAUCAUUGUUGAAUUAGCCAUGAUUGAUAUGGCGAAGUCGUGAUUUGAUAUGGAGACAGGACUGAUGGACGAGAUAAUUUGGGUAUGCCUAAGUCAUAAUGGCAAUAUUUAAGAGCGCAUUAAGGAUAACACGUACAGAGAAUCAUAUGUGUGACUAGUGGGAGAUUGUUAGAAUUUCUGACAAUUUAUGGGUCACAAAUAUAAUUCUAUAAUUGUGUUAUGGCCAUUAUGUAAUUAGCCAAAAUAUAAAAUGAUCUUAAGUAAUUAAUUUGGUGGCUAAGGGAAUAUGUGUCAUGAAAUAAUUUUAAGUGCAUAUACCUUCAGACAAUUUCUGAUUUGAUGAAGGGACUGAAUCAGAAUUAUUGCAACUAAAGUAGUAACCACUACGGGGUUACGUUUAUGGGUUAUGGUCCUCAUUUGUAGAGCAAUAGGUUUUCAAGUGUAAAGGUGGAGGAGAAUAAGGUAGGAUGAGAAUAGUGUUAUCCAGAAUAGGAUAACACUAUCCACUCAUCCAUAAGGGCUUAUAAGGCAUAAGGAUAAGCCUCCUCCAACUAACCUCAAAGCAACACUUUUCAGAAACUAAGGUAUUCUCUCAUUCCCCUCUAGAGAGAACUAAAGGAAAACCAUUCGGCGCUCUAUCAUCUGGAAGAUCAUCUCACCCUCAUACCUUCGAGAUUCCGGAAAUGGCUCAACAAGGUAUGUUCUUCAUCUUCACCAUGAACUCAUUUGGGGUUUCUCCGGUCUGGACCAUGGAUGUUCCAUUCUGGUGUAUGUAUGGGCAUACAUAUUAGGUUGUGGGAACAAAAUCAUGGUCAUAAGGACUUUCGCAUUCACUCUAUGGAUUUCGGAUGGAGAAGGAAUUUCUCCAACAAAUAUGACACUGAGGAUCAUAGCCUUGAUGGUUUUGGAGGAUGUUUUUUUCAAGAAUUUUGGGAUAUUGUUGGUCUGUAUGUUUGUAAAUCAGUUUCUCAGUUUUUCACUCAGGGUUGGUUACUCCCUAGUCUUAAUUCCAACUUUGUGUUUCUAAUUCCUAAAUUCCCUAGGGCAAAAAAAAUUGAGGACUUUAGGCACAUUUCUUUAGCAAACUUUCAAUUUAAAGUUAUAACCAAAGUCUUGACUGAUAGGCUUGCCAUCAUUACUCCUAGGAUUACCUCCAACCAUCAAAGAGGCUUCAUCAAAGAUAGGCACUACAUGGCUGCAUUUGUAUAGUUUCUGAAGCUAUUAAUCUCGUUGAUCACAAGACAUUUGGUGGUAAUUUGGCUAUCAAGUUGGAUGUUAAAAAAUCCUUUGACACAAUUGGUUGAGUCUUCUUGAGGACACCCUUAAAGCUUUUGGUUUUGAUAACAUAUUCAUCAAUUGGAUAAGUAUAAUCCUUUAAUAUGCUAAGUUAUCAAUAUUUGUGAAUGAGUAGAAUGUUGGUUUCAUUAAGGUGAUCCCCUGUCUCCCCUUCUCUUAUGCUUGGCUGAAGAUGUUCUAAGUAGAGGCUAACAAUGUUGCUUAAAGAUGAAAAAUCAGCACCAUUUCUGGUUCUAGAAAAGUUCAAUCACCUAGCCAUGUCCUCUAUAUUGAUGAUAUUUUGAUUUUCUACUCAAGCAUCAAAAGAAAACUUCUGGAUUUAAAGGAUUUGAUCUUAAUUUAUGCUCAAGCUUCUGGGCAAAAUCUCAAUCUUAGCAAGUAUAAAUUGUUUUCCACUCAUGACUCUACAAGCAAAACUAUUAAUUGAUCUUCCAACUUGGGUUUUAAUGCUGGUCAUUUGCCUUUCACUUACUCGGGGGUUUCUAUACUCAAAGGCAAGGCUAGACCUAUUCAUCUACAAACUAUAGAUGACAAGAUUGUCAACAAGAUAUCUAUGUGGAAAGGCUAUUCACCUUCAAUUAUGGCAGAGUUGAGCUUGCCAAGUCUAUAAUUCACAGUAUGCUAAUUUAUAGCGUUCAUAUUUAUUCUUGGCAUGUUAAAUUGAUAAAGGUUGUGGACAAUAGCAUCAAAAAUUUCAUAUGGUCUGGUGACACUAAGGUGAAAAAGUUGGUGACUGUUGCUUGGCAUCAAGUGUACAAUCCAGUGAAGGAGGGAUGUUUGGGUUUGAGAUCGAUCUCAACUCUGAAUUAGGCUACUAUUCUUAAACUGGCUUGGGAGAUGCAAUCUUCUAGACAUGAAUGGGUCAGCUUCUAUAGGCACAUAUUUUAUAGAGCUAGCAGACCUACUACUAGUUAUAUUAAAUCCUUUAUUUGGUGCGAAAUUAAAAAAAAAUUGGCACAUUGUUUCUAUAAUUCCAUCUGGCUAGUGGGAAAUGGAAGACAUAUUAGCUAUUGGUUGGAUAAUUGGCUUGGCUCUUCCCUGGCUGAUUCCUUAAGCAUCAUUGCUCAUAUUCACUUUUCCCUAUCAACCAUUGUUGUUGAUUUCAUUCAUGAAUCAAAGUGGAUAAUUCCAACUUGGAUGGUUGUGCUGCACCCUGAAAUCUCUAAUUCAAUUGUCAAAAUUCCUAUUUCUUUGGAAAGACAUAAUGAUUAGCUUGCUUGGAAGCACACAAAUGAUGGAGUUCUAACUAUGAAAGUUGCUUACAAUUUCAUUAAACCUUGUAUGAAUCAAUUAAAUUGGUGUAAGUUAUUUUGGUCUAUUUCUAUCCCUUCUACAAUGUAUUUCAUCCCAUGGAGACUUUACAAGAAUAAAAUGUCAAUAGAUGACAACUUGCAAAAAAGGUCUUUCUUUGGCUUAUAUUUGCAAAUUGUGUCUAGCAGAUGCUGAAUCUUAUAAUCACAUAUUUUUCAAUUGUCCAUUUGCAAUUUCUCUAUGGAAUUGGUUAAGAAACUUGAUUGGUUCCCCCUGGUCAGAUCCUCUAUUGUCAAUAUCUUGCUUGUAGUAGAAAGUGGAGUCCUCAGCUAAAGGAAGUGGCAGCUCCUAUUAUUUUAAAUAUUGACUCAACAAUUUGGCUAUGCAAGAAUAAUAUCAUAUUUGAGAAUAUGAGAAUAUCCCUCUAUCAAGUCAUUGCUAAAAUUAUUUUGGACACUACUCUAACUAGAAAUUUAUCUAAGUUGUGUUCUAGGCCUUCUCUAACUGAGUUCUCCAUUCUUAGAGUAUUCAAUGUUUCUAGAAAAUCCAGUAAUGCUCCUGUAAUUUCUAUAGUUAUUUGGCAUCCUCCUCUAAUUGGUUGGACAAAAAAUAAUGUAGAUGGUGAAGCUCAUGGUUCUCCUGGGCAUGCUGGGGGAGGGCAUUUUUAGAGACAAUUUUGGUAUAUUCUUGGGAUGUUUUACAACUUCUAUUGAUAUUCAGGAUUUUAUUUAAGUAGAAGUGCUUUCUUCUAUUUUAAUUUUGAAGCUAGCUCACUCAAAGGGUUGGAAUGCUAUUUAGUUUGAGUGUGAUUCAAGCAUGGUGGUGGACAUAUUCAAUGGAAAACGUUUUGUUCCUUGGAAGUUAAGGUAUUCAUGUAAUCAAUGUUGUGUUUUAAUCAACUCAAUGGAGUUUAAAAUUUCUCAUACUUUCAUAAAGGGGAAUACUUGUGCUGACAAACUACCUUUAGGGUGAUAUCGAGAUUGAUUAUUGGUGGGACUCUAUCCCUGUUUUUCUGUUGGCUGAGUACAAUAGGAAUAUCCUCAAAUUGCCUAACUACAGAUUUAAACACUUGUAAUCUUGCCUUGGCUCUCUAGUAAUUUGCUUCUCCUUUUCUAAUAAAAUUGUGGGUGUGUUGCCACCCUUGCCUUAAAAAAAAUCAUAGCUAAAAUCUAACAUCGAAGGAUAUAAUCUUUGCACACCCCAGGGAGGAGGAAGAACAUCAAAUUGGUGAGGCUCUCUUAAACCCGACCAAACAAAAUAAUAAAUCAUAUUUUCACAAUCAUGUGUCAUGACUUAACACUAAGCCAUUUAUACAAAAAAUGAAAUGUAACAAUAAGCAGUUGUGCCUAAUUUCAAGUCUUUGUUCACUAUAACUUCUAAAGUUUCAAUAUAUAGCUUCAUAUAAAACUAUAUUCAUUAAAGAAAAGUGAUAUCGUUCUGAAUAAUAAGGAUAGUAAAUUUGAUAGCAUGAUAAUAGAAUUCAUCAAGAAACAAAGUAAUAUUCAAUUAUAAGCAUGCUUUCAAAUACACUUUCACAAACGCUUCCUUCUUAGAUCUAAGCCACCCAGUUUGACUUCUGACACGUCUCUUUUGGAUACUCCACACGUACUUAUUGUCUAUUCCCAGCUGAAUCUUGCCCUCAACUAAGACCUUUAUGAAAUGGUGAAGAAUGUACAACCUAACCUGGGUUGGGACAAUUUUUUUUUCUAAACUCCUCAAAUUUGUUGUGUCAACACCGUUUCAAGUUAGAAGCACCUAAAAUGUGCAUAUAUGAACAUGUAACACUCAAUCUCAAACCUAAUCAGAAAAUCUCACAAGACCUAAUAGAAAAUGUGGAUUUAUGCAAGGCUUGUAUGAAAAAGAAUUUUACAAUUGAAUGCUCAAAAAUUACUUCCAAAGAAGCUUUUUUUCUUCUAAUCCCUCUUAUGCGCAAGAAACACUUAAACUUUUGCAGAACACUAUUUUUUAGAUAAACUCUUGAAUUUUUUUGAAUCUCUCCCAUAUUACACAUGGGUAAAAUUACAGCUUUUAUAGUAAUCUGAUCUUAAUCGAUCGUCAAUAAACUUAAUCAAUCAAUUGUUUGUUAAAAAUAACAUAUUUUCUUUAGUAAGCCUAUUUAAUCGAUUAAACUUUUGGUAUAAUUGAUUAACGAGGCUAAGAGCUUCAAACCAAUAGCUGUUGUAAUUCAAUUAAUUGAUCCAUAAAAAUACUUAAUCGAUUAACGUGUUCUAAAGACCACUUUAAUCAAUUAAUCAGUUUUAACCAAAAGUUUAGAUUCCAAUUAUGCAAGGUAAAACCUUAUAAAUGAUGUAUGCUCAUGUAAUGAAUGAUUUCAAAAAGAUAUUUAGUUUUAAUGCACUGAAAUCAUGUAUGCUCAAGUGAAGUGCAUGCAUACUGUCUAUUAAGGAUGGAUGAUUCUGAUUUUUAAGUUUUAUUUAUCUUUUAAGCUUUGUGAGAUUCUCAUACUAGGUCUACCUAACCUAGACUCGAACAAGGCAAUCAUCUUAGGACAUCUAAAAAUAAAAAGACUUUCCUAAUUCUAGAUAACCUUGAGUCUUCGGCUUGUUGUUUGAUAAGUUGCGUCAAUCUUCAAGCUUUACUAAAUUUGUUGUCUUCAUCAGAAAUUUGUUGUAGAAUGCACUUGUAGACUUUGACUCCUCUUGUAAUAUCAAUGUCCCCCUUUUUAUGAUGACAAACGUUUUCUUGCUUUAUGCUUUGAAGCUGGAUUUUGAUCAACGUUUUUUGCUUAGGUUAUGAAUAAAUAGUGUCAAUAUAGCACAACUGCCCCUCACUCAUGAUUGAAGAUAGGAUAUGAUUAUUACGUAAGCAUGAAUAACAACCUUCAAAAGUUCAAACAACAAUUUCUCCUCCUUUUGGCAUGAUAAAACAAAAAUAUAAAAAAUAAAACCAAAAGAAAGGAAAAAUUCUGAUUUAUGCUGAAUUUAAUCGAUUAAAGGAGUAAUUAAUGGAUUAAAAACAAUUUACAAACUUGAUCAAGUCCACAACAUUUGUAUUUAUUCGAUUAACAUAUACACUUAAUCGAUUAAUCCUACUUAAAUUAACUGUUAUAGUUGAUAGUGAGCAUGUUUUAACAAAUCAUUCGAUUUGAACAAUUGAAAUAUCAAUAAAUAUAAUGCAAAGAUAAUGCAAACACUAAGUUCAACAUAAUAAUUCAUGCAAAAGUUCAACCAUAAACAUAACCAAGUCAUAAUGUGAACCAACAACAAACCAUAACCAAAACAAACAUAAUCACACAUACACACAUGCACACUAAAGCUUAUUCUAACAUAAGCAUUUCUAAGCUAAACAACUCUUGAGGUGGAUGUGGGGAUGGUGGAGUGUCCAUCUUCUUCAUUAGAUUGGCCCAUUCAGAGUAUAGUAAUUCAUUUGCAAUUGGGUCUUCUUCCUCAUCCUCAUCAAUUAAAUUCAUAUUAACAUCAAUGUCAUAGAGUUCUUGGAGCUUUGCUUGAGAUUUAGUCACAUCAGCAACCUUAGCAUGUGUCAUUUGUUGUUGCUUUUGCAUAACCUCCAAAGUUUCCAAGAUUGGAUCGACGUGACUGUUCAUGGAUUUAAAACCAGAGUCCAUAUGAUCCUUUAUUCACUUUUCCACACCAGCAAGCAUUGUAGAUAUGAGGGAGGAAGAGAGAUUUAUUCUGUGAGAUGACCUUUUGGUGUAGAUGAACAACCCAUUUCACUCAUAGUAUUUGUGUUUCUGGAUUUUGGAAGGAUGAAUUUUGGAAGAGUUUUGGAAGGGGAAUCAUAGUUUUGGGGUUUAGGGUUUCAAAGUUUGAAAACACUGAAACUGAACUAAAAUCUGUUUUUAUUGAUGUCGUUAAUCAAUUAAUUUGUAACAAACAUUUAUUUGAAAAAAAAAUUGGAGCUUACAUUAAUUGAUUAUAGUAUCUCUUAAUCGAUUAAUUUAAAGCAAUUUUAAAUUUCGGAAGCCCCUGAAACUCUUUUAAUUGAUAGAAAUUAUAUGUUAAUCAAUUAACAUUGGUUGACUAGCAACCAUGACAGAUUUUGGUUUAAGUGAGGGAUGCUUAGGUAUACUUACCAUACAUAAUUUCAUUAGAACCUCUUAUUUAACUAUAAUCAUGCAGCACACAAAUCAUGAAAGUUAAUUAAGCAUGUUAAACAUACAUUUAAAAUUAUUUUUCGUAUAAGCAUAUAGGAGAUACAUGUUAAGGCAUAUAUGAACCUAAAACAAGCUAGGUUAGAUAUGAUUCAUCAAGGAUUUAAAGUUAUCUUCUUAGAACAAAGAAUAUGUCUCGGGGAAGGGGCUUGGUGAAUAUAUUGGUCAACUGUUUUGAGAUCUCUACAAAUUCAAUUAUGCAAUCACCUUUUUGCACAUGAUCCCUUAGAAAAUGAUGACACAUUUCUUUAUGCUUAGUACGUGAAUGCAGAAUGGAGUUCUUUGAUAAGUUUAUGGCACUCGUGUUAUCACACUUGAUCAGUAUAUGAUCAAGAUUUAGACAGAAGUCUUGCAAUUACUGCUUCAUCCUAAGGAUUUGAGCGCAACACACGCCAUCGACAAUAUAUUUUGUUUUAGAAGUUGACAAAGCAACACAUGCUUGCUUCUUGUUGUGCCAAGAAACAAGGGAGCUACCUAACAGGUGGCAAGUCCCACAUACUCUUGCAAUCCAACUUGGACCCAGCGAAGUUAGAAUCAGAGUAUCCUACCAAAGAUAAUGAGGCAUCCCUAGGAUACCAAAGUCCCAUUUGUAAUGUUCCUUUUAAGUAUUUCAUGAUUCAUUUUACAACAAUAAGAUGAGAUUCUUUAGGAUUAAAUUGAUAUCUAGCAUAUAAACAUACACUAAACAAUAUAUUAGGACAACUAGAUGUAAGAUAAAGUAAAGAGCCAAUUAUGUCCCGAUAUUUUGUUACCUCAACCAAUUUACUCUUAUCAUCUUUAUCAAGAUAGCUUGAUGACACCAUUGGAGUAGAGGCUUCUAUUGCUUUGUCCAUGACAUAUUUCCUUAAUAACUCCUUGCAAUAUUUUGACUGAAGCACAAAGAUUCCUCUACUCAACUAUUUUAUUUGUAAUCCUUGGAAGAACAUCAAUUCACCCAUCAUCGACAUUUCGAACUCUCCCUUCAUCAAAUUUGAGAAAUCCUCACAAAUAAUAUUGUUAGUGAGAGUGCAAAGUGUCAAGGAUUGCACUAGCAAUGUUUUGCCUAUGUUCCGAUGAAGACAAUGAAUUAAUUAAAGCUUGAAGAUGACUCAACAAUCAACAUGCUCAGAGCUCAAGUGGUGACUUAUUAGACUUAGGCUAUAAUUCUUUAUUAUCUGUUUAGAAGUCUAAGAUGCUUGUCAUAGAUAUUGAGUCUAGGUUAGGUAAACAAAGGUGUGAGUCUCACAAGACUUAAUAAAGUAAUUAAUCCACUAAAAUGAGAUAUCAUCUAGUUUAUUAUCUGUUCAUGCAUAUCAUACAUGUUAUAUGUGUAUAUUAGACAUAAUAUAAUUGCUAAAACAUGCAUAGGAGUUAAGCAUAGCAUAUGAGUAGUUUGCCUUUUGAAUCAUGUGUUUUAACAUGUUGGUUAAUCGAUUAACAUGGUAAUUAAUCGAUUAACUCAACUGUUUUCUGUUUUAAAUCAUGUUACACUAGUUAAUCGAUUAACCCCAUGGCUUAAUCGAUUAACGUAUCUAUUUUCUGUUGUUUCAACUGCAUAACUGAAAAAACCAUUUUUAGAGGCAAAAUUUGUUUUGUAUAAAUUCUGGCAAAUUGCAGAAAUGGCUAAGAGUGAAAAACACAGAGAAAAGAGAACUGAUCAUCAUUGUUAGAAACUAUUAGAGAGUAUUACAUUAGGAGAAAGACUAGAUCAUGCUAAGGCUUUAGUUUUCACAUUCAUAUUGCAUGUUUCUUUGAGAAACUUUCUUGCAUCAUUCUUGUGUUUCUUGGAAAGAAAAGAGAUAGUUAUUUAUGAUUGCAUAAUUUCAUCAUCCUCAUGCAUGUAAAUUCAUAUUAGACUUGGAAGUCUUGUGAAUUCUUGCUUAGGUUUUAGGCUUUGAUCUUUAUUGUAAUGUCUGAGUAUUAAGUACUCAUUAAUAACUCAAAGCAUUGUUAUUCAAGGAUUGAGAAAAUCCCAGUUGCGGUUAGGUAAGGUGUUCUUCACACAAAGAUUUGGAGGUCUUGGGAUAAAGAGCAAUACCUUGGAUGGGGCUGAAUCGCGGUAAGAAAGGUUUUCUUGGAGGUGGUUUUGGGAAAGGUCAAACAAAAAAGGGUGACAAAGUUCUUUGGGUUCCAAGAAAAGAGGAUUCGAGGCUUGUAUUUGGAAGCGUGUAUGUAACGUACAUUGUGUUCUAUAGUGAAGAAGGAAAAUAUCCUAGAUUAGAGGAGAUGACUGGAUAUAGUUUUGCAGUGGACAUCAAAACGAACCAGGAUAAAAUCUCUGCACAAUCAUUUCUAUCAUUUUCUCUUUUAUAUUUCAAGAUGUUUUAAUGCGAGCUUGGAGCUAAUAUUUUGCAUGCUUGUUCUUUGCUAUGUUCUUGUUAAUCUUGCAUAAAAGCAUAUGUUGUAUAUAUGUUUGUGUGUUGGUUAAUAACUGUGCAAGUUGUUGUUCUGAUCAUUCUGGUUAUGUUUAGAUUUAAUCGAUUAAGCCCACUAGUUAAUCGAUUAACUGGGCAUUUUUCAGCAAGUGUGUAAAAACCAGAAAAGUGGAACUUGAGCUCCGCCGCACCUAUUCAACCCCCUUCUAGGUGUAUUCUGCCAGUGAUACCUAACAAGUGGUAUCAAAGCUAGUACGUCGUGCUACCUCAACCGCAUUCGCAUGAUCUGAAAGGGACUACAUAUGGGAUCUAACAACCCCUUUGACGGUGAUGGCGCAUCCAUUAACCGCCCUCCCGUAUUUAGUGGCUAGGGCUAUGCCUAUUGGAAGUUUCGCAUGAGAAUUUAUAUCGAGGGGAUAGACACAGACAUUUGGGAUUCCGUUGUCAAUGGUCCAUACAUUCCUCUUCAUAUGGUGGAUGGCGAGUCUAAAGAAAAGCCUAAAGGCUCAUGGACGGAUAUUGAGAAAAUAAAGGUCCAACAUGACCUUAAGGCCAAUAACAUUAUUACUUCGGCCUUAUGUUAUGACGAAUUCUUUAGAGUCUCGCAAUGCCUUAAUGCAAAAGAAAUGUGGGAUACUUUAAAAGUUACACACGAAGGCACAAGUGAAGUUAAGUGCGCUAGACUAAAUGCGUUUACACAUGAGUAUGCGUUAUUUCACAUGCUUCUUAAUGAAUCUAUAUUUAAUAUGCAAGAACGUUUUACUCAUGUUGUAAAUCAUUUGGUCGCCCUUGAUAAAACUUUUACUAAUGCUGAUUUGUCUAACAAUGUUGUGCGCUGUCUUGAUAGGAAAUGACAACUAAAGGUAAUCGCAAUAAUGGAGUCAAAGAACUUAGACAACAUGCCAUUAGCUACUCUGUUUGGGAAUCUCCAAGAACAUGAAAUGGAGUUAGGGCGCUUGACAAUGAAUGAAGAGUCAGACAAAAACGGAAUCACACUCAAGGCUACAAGAUUUCAAGAAGAUCAAGCAAGUGAGGAUUCUAGAUCAGAUUCUGAUUCCGAUGAAGAAUUGACUCUCCUAUUUGAAAAAUUCAAGAAGUAUCUCAAGAAGAAAGGAGGGAUCAAGAAUCUAAAGAAAGAAGCCAAAAAUUCAACCAAGAAAAGCAAGAUUCCCAAAGAAGGCUUCACUUGCUAUGAGUGUGGAAAAUCGGGCCACAUGAAGCAUCAGUGCUCGAGCCACCUCAAGAAAGUCAAUAACAAGAAGAGAAACUCUCGAAUGUCCAAGUCAAAAGAAGCAUAUAUUAUUUGGAACGAUUCCAAGAAAGAUUCGACUUCAAGCUCAUCCGAUGAGGAUAAAAAUUCAAAGGUAUGCCUUAUGGCACGAGUGCAUGAGAAGUGCACAUCUAGUGAUGAAGAUGAUUCUAUUGAGGUACUCUCCUCCAUAUGAUGAAUUAUUUGCAGCUUAUGUCAAAAUGCAUAAGGAGUUAAAGAAAGUUGUUAAAAUAAAAAUAGAUAGAAAAUGAGUUAUCUCCUUUCAUGAAAAGAAAAUAAUUGAAAUGCAAAAGGAAUUAGAUGAACUUAAACUUGCAAAUGAAACACUUGAUAUUAUCUAUGCAUGUGCCUCAUGUGAUUGCUCUACUUCUAAAUUACGUCAACCCACUUUAUGUGAUACUUGUGAGAGUUUAAAUGCUGAAAAUUCUAUUUUGAAAAAAAAAACUUUCAAAGCUCACAUAUAGUCAAGACAACCUUAACACAUUGCUUGCUAAUACAAGAAAUGUUGGUAACCAGUCUGGAAUUGGAUAUAAACUUCAGCCUAAGAAAAGACCAUGUAGAAAUCCAGUAGUUCAUAUGCAUAAGAAGUCAAAUAAUAACAUGCCUACUUGUUUCUAUUGUGCUACACAUGGUCACACAUUCACUACAUGCUUUAUUAGAAAAUUUGGUGUGCCAAGUGGCAAAUAUGUUUGGGUAAAGAAGGGGCAAGAUCCCUUAGUUACUAACAAGAAGGAACCCAAAAUAACUUGGGUACCUGAAAGAGACAAGUAAAUUGUGUUUGUAGGUGUGCCAAAGAACAUUUGAGCAUUAAGGGAUAAAUCAACAAAAGAAAUUCUAGGCACAAGGUUGGUGAGUAGAUCAAGGCUAUUAAGAAUAAAAGUUAUUGAGAAAGAUUGUUGAAUGAGCUUCCGUAUUAUGCUACAUACCAAGAGUACUUCUCUAAGUAAUAAAGGGGGAGAAGAUAAAUGGAAGAACAAUGAAAGGGGGAGAAGAUAAAGGGAAGAACAAUGAAAGGGGGAGCAGCGCGCUUUGAAUGUCAAAUAUAAAACUUUGAUCAUAACAUCAAAUUUUUCAUCAAACAAGUGGUAAUCUUGACCUAUCACCAAAGGGUAAGUAAGGUAAUUAUAUUAACAAGGUUACAAAAUUAUUUCUGAGUAAGCUCAAAAUUGUUCUUAAAACUGUCAACUUUUUGUCAUUAAUCGAUUAACCCUCAGUAUAAUCGAUUAAAUGACUUCCAGUAGCUAAAGCUUUCUGAAAUAAAUCAUUUUAAUCAAUUAAAUUUUGUGAUAAUCAAUUACCUGGACUCAAUUUUUUUUUGACAUUUAAUUCUUGUUGUUUUGUGGCUUACGUCCAUAUUUUUCAGUCAAAUACAUUUUAUGGUUAUGGUUGUACCUUCUUUUAGUAUUUUGUAACUAUGUUGAACCUUGCUAAUUAUGUUAAAUAGAAUUUUUUUUUGCGUAAAUGUUGAACAUGUGUUAGUUGUGUAUUAUAAUUGAAUGAUUGAAAUAUGCUUUAAAAUGAAAAUUUCCUAACAAGUGCUAAUAAAUGGUGAUAAUGACAUCUAAUAAGUGGCAUCUAAAAAGUACUAACAAAUGGCAUACAUAUAAGUUUAAUCAUUCCAUGUCUAAAUUGUUUACAUAAUGGAUAUGUCAUGCAAAAUUUGUCUAUAUUCAGUUUUAGAGUCAGAAAUCAAUGUGUUUGUUUAAGCUUCUCAAACUAGUUAUUGCCUAUGAUAAUAAUUACAAAUUUUCAAAAUAAAUUGAUAUAUCUCUUCUUACUUUGGACUAGAAUUGAAUAUUCAUAUCUUUUUGAUAAUGUCAAAAGGGAGAGAAAGGUUGCUUGUUGUGUUUGACGUUAUUUGUAGGUUGUCAUAAUAGCGUCCGCAUUAUUAAUCAUUGCUUACCUAAGGGGGAGAGCAAAGCGCUUUCAACUUUGAAUUCACAACCAUUAUGCAAAUGUACAACAUCAUCAAGCUAAUUCAUCAAAUGUAAUGUAUUAUUUGAUGUGGUGUUUGUCAUCAUCAAAAAGGGGAGAGAUUGAGAGUGCAAAGUGUCAAGGAUUGCACUAGCAAUGUUUUGCCUAUGUUUUGAUGAAGACAAGGAAUUAAUUAAAGCUUGAAGAUGGCUCAACAAUCAACAUGCCAAGGGCUCAAGUGGUGACUUAUUAGACUUAGGUUAUAAUUCUUUAUUAUCUUUUUAGAAGUCUAAGAUGUUUGCCAUAGAUAUUGAGUCUAGGUUAGGUAAACCUAGGUGUGAGUCUCACAAGACUUAAUAAAGUAAUUAAUCCACUAAAAUGAGAUACUAAAAUGAUAUAUCGUCUAGUUUAUUAUAUGUUCAUGCAUAUCAUACAUGUUAUAUGUGCAUAUUAGGCAUAAUAUAAUUGUUAAAACAUGUAUAUGAGUUAAGCAUAGCAUAUGAGUAGUUUGCCAUUUAAAUCAUGUGUUAUAACAUGUUGGUUAAUCGAUUAACGUGGUGACUUAAUCGAUUAACUCAACUAUUUUUUGUUUUAAAUCAUGUUACACUGGUUAAUCAAUUAACCCCAUGGCUUAAUCGAUUAACGUCUCUAUUUUCUGUUGUUUCAACUGCACAACUGAAAAUACCGUUUUUAGAGGCAAAAUAUGUUUUGUAUAAAUUCUGGAAAAUUGCAGAAAUGGCUAAGAGUGAAAAACAUAGAGAAAAGAAAAUUAAUAAUUAUUAUUAGAAACUAUUAGAGAGUGUUGCAUUAGGAGAAUGACUACAUCAUGCUAAGGCUUUAGUUUUCACAUUCAUAUUGCAUGUUUCUUUGAAAAGCUUUCUUGAAUCAUUCUCAUGUUUCUUGGAAAGAAAAGAGAUAGUUCUUUAUGAUUUCAUAAACCUCAUGCAUGUACAUUCAUAUUAGACUAGGAAUUCUUGUGAGUUCUUGCUUAGGUUUUAGGCUUUGAUCUUUAUUGUAAUAUCCGAGUAUUAAGUACUCAUUAAUAACUCAAAACAUUGUUAUUCAAGGAUUGGAAAAAUCCUAGGUGCGGUUAGGUAAGGUGUUAUUCACACAAAGACUUGGAUGUCUUGGGAUAAAGAGCGAUACCACGGCUGGGGCUGAAUCGGUGUAAGAAAGGUUUUCUUGGAGGCGGUUUUGGGAAAGGUCAAACCAAGGGUGACGAAGUUCUUUGGGUUCCAAGAAAGGAGCGUUUGAGUCUUGUAUUUGGAAGCAUGUAUGUAACAUACAUUGUGUUCUAUAGUGAAGAAGGAAAAUCUCCCAGAUCAGAGGGGAGGAAUGGAUGUAGUUUUGCAGUGGACAGAAAACCGAACCAGGAUAAAAUCCAUGCACAAUCUUUUCUAUCAUUUUCUCUUUUAUAUUUCAAGAUGUUUUAAUGCGAGUUUGGAGCUGAUAUUUUGAAUGCUAAUUCCUUGCUAUGUUCUUGUUAAUCUUGUAUAAAAGUAUAUGUUGUAUAUUUGUUUGUGUGUUGGUUAAUAAUUGUGCACGUUGUUGUUCUGAUCAUUUUGGUUAUGUUUAGAUUUAAUCGAUUAAGCCUACUAGUUAAUCGAUUAACUGAGCAUUUUUCAGUAAGUGUGUAAAAACCAGAAAAGUGGAACUUGAGUUUCGUCACACCUAUUCAAACAAGUUAGUGGCACCAAAUAUAAUAUCAUCAACAUAAAUUUUAGCUAACAAUAUAUCAUUAUUAGAUUUCUCUAUAAAGAGAGUUGUGUCCACCUUACCCCUUACAAAUCAUUUUUUUCUAAAAGAAAAGUACUUAAAUGCUCAUACCAAGCCCUCAGUGCUUGUUUCAAUCCGUAGAGAUCCUUUGUAAGUUUAAAUGCAUGAUUAGGAUAUUUGAAAUUUUCAAAUCCUGGGGGUUGGUUAACAUAAAUUUCUUCUUGAAUGAAACCAUUCAAGAAUGCACUCUUAACAUCCAUUUGAAAAAGUUUAAAGUUCAUUAUUGAAGCAUAGGCAAGUAACAUCCUAAUGGCUUUCAACCUUGCAGCCUGGGCAUAUGUUUUGUCAUAAUCAAUGCCUUCCUCUUGAUUAUGUGCUUGAGCAACUAGUCGUGCUUUGUUUUGAAUAAUCAAGACUGAUUCAUCGAGUUUGUUGUGAAAGACCCACUUAGUGUCAAUAAUCGGGUGAUCUUUUGGCUUGGGGACCAAGUACCACACAUUAUUUUACUCGAACUAGUUUAGCUCUUCUUGCAUAGUUAUACCCCAAUGUUCGUCUUCAAGGGCCUCAUUAAAAAAUUUAGGUUCAAUUUGAGAAACAAAAGCAACAAAAUAUAGUAAUUACGAAGAGAGUUUCGGGUUACCACUCCCAUUGAGAUAUCACCUAUGACCUUAUCGAUAAGAUGAUCCUUUUUCAUUUUCAAGACUUUUGGCAUGUUUUCAUCUUCUUGAUUUUCAUUAUUUUCAAUUUGUGCUUCCUUUUCUACUUCGGAUUUCGUUGUGUAUGCAUCCUCCAAUGCACUUGAAACAUCAUCAAAUACAACCUUCAUAUUCUCUCUUAGAGAAGAUUCAUCAAAAUGUGCAUGUAUAGAUUCUUAUACAUUCAUGUUAUGCUUAUUAUAGACUCAAUAGGCUUUAUUAUAUACUGAAUAACCUAAGAAUAUCCCUUAAUCGGAUUUUGAAUCAAACUUACCCAAAUUAUCUUUUCCGUUAUUUAAUAUAAAACAUUUGCACCCAAAAGCGUGAAGAUGAGAUAUAUUUGGUUUGCAGCCUUUUAAAAGUUCAUAAGGUGUUUUUGAAAACAUAGGCGUAAUCAGAAUUCGGUUAAUCAUAUAGCAUGUGGUGUGAACCGCGUCAAGCCCAGAAAUAUGUUGGAACUUUGUUUUUGUUUAGCAUUGUCCUGGAUAAUUCCUCCAAUACUCUAUUUUUCCUCUCAACAACUCCAUUUUGUUGAGGAGUGCGAGGAGUCGAGAAUUGGUGAAGUAUACCAUUUUUCUCGCAAAACUUUUCGAACAAAUGAUUUUUAAAUUCACCGUUGUGGUCACUACAGAUAAAUAUUAUUUUAUAGUUAAACUGCUUUUGUAUUUGUUUGGUAAUAUUUUUAAAUGAUUUGAAAGUUUCACUUUUUAAAGUUAGAAAUAGUGUGCAAGUGAAUCUAGAAAAAUCAACAACAAUAACUAGUGCAUAGUAGCUACUUCCACAACUCAUUACUUGAGAUGGUCCAAACAAGUCCAUAUUGAGAAGCUCCAAUGGCCUUGUUAUGGAUAUCAUGGUUUUUGAUGAAAAUGAGUUUUUAACCUGCUUACAUCUUUGAUAGGUAUCACAAAUAUCGACGGUUUUAAAAUUUAGCUCAGGUAGCCCUACCACAAGUUCCUUAGUUGAUACUUUUUCUAAAUGUUUCAAAUGAAUAUGACCCACUCUUUUAUGCCAAACCCAUAUAUCAUUCUCCUUCAAAAUAAAAGAUUUUGAAAAUAGAGAAGUGAUAUUAUCCAUAUUAAUCAUGUAAAUAUUAUGUAUCAUAUGACAAAUAAAUUUUACCUUAUUAUCUAAUCCAUCACGUAUGACACAACAAUCAAAAUCAAAAGAAACUUUGUUACCUCUAUCACAAAGUUGACUAAUACUAAGCAAAUUGUGUUCAAGUCCUUAGACAUAAAGAACAUUGUCGAUGAUAGUUCGAGAAACAACUCCAAUUUUUCUAACUCCGAGUGUUUUCUCUCAAUUGUAGUCUCCAUACGUAACAUAGUCGUUUUCAUUCAAUAAUAUAUCAAGGAAUUUGGAUCUAUCUCAUGUCAUAUGUCUCGAACAUCCAUUAUCUAGAUACCAAAGUUGUCCAUGUGAUCGAAGACAUACCUGCAAAAUAAAUUUACUUGGCACUUUCAGAUACCCAAUUUAUGUUAGGUCCCUUAUGGCUAGUAACCAUGGGAACUAGUACCGUUUUAAUCCAAACAUACUUUCCAUUUGGUACUCCAUACUUUUGAAUAUAACAUGAAAGGGAAGUAUGUCCAUGAAUGCCACAAUAAAAACAUGUAGAUGAUUUAUGAUUAUAUACUUUUCGAUUAUGAGUCACAUGUUUUCUAGAUGGUUUUCUUUGCUUGGUAUUAUUAUAUCCUAUUCCAACAUGAUUACCAAUAUUUUUAGUAUUAGCAAGUAAAUUGUCAAGAUUUUGACGACUAUGUGUGAACUUUGCAAUCUUAUCUUUCAAAACAGAAUUUUCAAAUUUUAACACAUUGCAAUUUUCACAUUUAGAAGUCUCACAUAAUUUAGAAGAACAAUCACAAGAGACACGUGCAUAGAUAUCAAGGGUGUUAUUCUCAAGUUUAAUUUCAUCAAUCAUUGCUUGCAUUUUUACUAUUUUCUCAUCAUGCAACAAUAUAAUCCUUUUACGAUCAACACUAAUUCUUGCAAGUUUUUUAAGUUCCUCGUGUAAUUCUACAAAAGUGUCAUAUAGUUCAUCAUAAGUGGGUAUCUUUUCAGAAUUUUCAGAACAUGAACUACGAUAAGGAGAAUGUACCUCACUGGAUUAUUCUUUAUCGGAUAAGUUAUUGGAAUCCGGUGUGUGAGCUAUAAGACAUAGUUUGAUGGUCUCCUAUUUAUCAAAUGUGCUUGUUGUAGGAUCCUCCUCGAGAACGUCCCACACAAUGUAGGCCAUUUAAGACUUGAAUUCUCUUGAGGUGUUCUUCUCACCCUCAACCUUCUUGAGAGAGGUUGGAUAUUGGAAUUACAUGUGCCCAACUUUUCCAUACUCAUGGCAAGUGAAGCGGUCUUUGAGAGCCUUGCCUUUUCGGGUUGAGUCCUUAGCUUCUUUGCGUUAAAACCAGUUUGACCUCCUCUUUUCUUCAGGAAUUUGUUAAACUUUCUUACUAAGAGCAUCAUGGUAUCGUCGUCUAUUUCAGAAUCAGAAUCCUCAUCAAUGUUCCCUUCUUAAAUUUGUGAUGUUGACGCCUUGAGAGAAAUAUUUUUCUUGAAUUUGUCUUAUUCUUCAUGCAAGGUUAAGCGCCCUAACUCCAUUUCAUGUUCUUGGAUUUUCCGAACAUUGUAUCUAAUGGCAUCGAAUCAAGAUCAUUGGAGUCCAUGAUAUCGGUCACUUUUCGCUGCCAGUUCUUGUCAAGGCAUCUUAACACUUUAUUAGUGAGUUCACCUUUAGCAAAUGUCUUAUAUAGAGCAACUAGAUGAUUUAUGAUAUGAGUGAAACAUUUCUACAUGUCUCUUAUAGACUCGUUAGGAAACAUCCUAAACAACUCAUACUUGUGCGUCAAAGCAUUUAGAUGUGCCCGCUUAACUUCGCUCGUGCCUUCAUAGGUGACUUGUAAUAUGUUCUGCAUCUCCUUGGCACUAUAACAUUGAGAUGCCCUAAAGAACUCGUCAUAAGAGAGUGCUGAAGUGAUGAUAUUUUUUGCUUUUAAAUUGUGUUGAACUUUUCUUUUAUCAUCAUCAUUCCACAAGCUCUUCGCCUUUUCUUUGAUUUCUCCUUCCACCAAAUGUAGUGAAAUAUAUGGUCCAUUGACAACAGCCUCCCAAACAUCCGUGCCAAUGGCCUCGAUAAUGAUUCUCAUGUGAACCUUCCAUUAGGCAUACCCCUCACCACUGAAUAUCGGAGGACGAUUGAUGGAUGCACUAUCACCACCGAAAGGGUUGGUAGAACCUAUAGUGAUAUUUUCGUGGAUCAGCGAAGUUAGCGGCUAAGCUAGUACUGUCAUACUAGCUCUGAUACCACUUGUUGGGUAUAAUCAGAAUAUAAACACACCUAUAGGGGGUGGGUUGAAUAGGUGCAGCACAAUCAAAUUAUCACUUUUCUGGUAUUUACAAAGUUCUGAAAAACUACCAGUUUAAUCGAUUAACCAAGGUCUUAAUUAAUUAUGGACAAAUAUGUCUUAACCGAUUAACGAAUGUUUUAAUCGGUUAUCCUGACAGUUAGGUUUCUUGAAACCAGAAUAUUUUCAACAGAAAACUCGAACAAUUCAAUCGUUACAAGCGUAUACUACUUAAUCAGAUUAUGAACAAUUAAUCUAAAACAAUUAAGCAAUUCACAAAUCAAUGUGAAAUUUAAAGACUUAGAAUGUAAAAGAGAUAAGGGAAGAGCAACAAGAACAACAAAAGAAUUUCCUAGUUCGUUUGUGGGUCCACUUACAAACUACAUCUAGGCCUUCCGACGGAUCUUGGAGAUUUUUCUUCACUAAGAAAUGAAGUAAUAUUCAAUUACAAGCACACUUCCAAUUACACUUCCACACAUGCUUCCUUCUUAUAUCUAGAGUCAAGCUACCCGCUUUGACUUCCGACACGCCUCUUUUGGAUACUCCACACCUACUCGCUGUCUAGCCCUAGUCGAAUCUUGCUCUCAACUAAAACCUUUGUGAAAUGAUGAAGACUAUACAACCUAACCUCACCUAGGACAAUUUUUCUUCUAAACUCCUCAAAUUUGUUGUCUCAUCACUUUUUCAAGUUACAACCACCUAAAUGUGCCUAUAUGAACAAGUAACACUCAAUCUCAAACCUAAUCAGAAAAUCUCACAAGACCUAAUAGAAAAUGUGUAUUUAUGCAAGGUUUGUAUGAAAAGUAAUUGUACAAUUGAAUGCUCAAAAAUUACUUCUGAAUAAGCUUUUUCUUCUAAUCUUGAUUAUGCACAAGAAACACUUAAACUUUUGCAUAACACUAUUUUUCAGAUAAAAUCUUGAAUUUUUUGUAAUCUCUCUCAUAUUUCUUAUGGGUAAAAUUACAGCUUUUAUAAUAAACUGAAUUUAACUGAUCUAGAUCGAUUAUCAAUGCAUUUAAUUGAUUAAUGCUUGUUAAAAAUAACACGUUUUCUUCAAUAACCAUAUUUAACCGAUUAAGCUUCUGGUAUAAUCAAUUAGCGAGGUUAAGAGCUUCAAACCAGUAGCUAUUGUAAUUCAAUUAAUUGAUCCAUAAAAACACUUCAUCAAUUAACGUAUUAUAAAGACUACUUAAUUGAUUAAACUAUAUCUUUAAUCAAUUAAUCAAUGUUAACCGAAAGUUUAGAUUCCACUUAUGCUUGAUUAUAGACCAAAUUCCACUGGAUGUAUUUGAAUGCAUGCAAAAAUCAAGAGGUCUUUAAAUGGUUGUAAUGGGGUUAAGGUGAAUGAUUUAUGGUGAGAUAAACAAAGAAAGGGUACUUCAAAAGGCUUAUAAAUGUUUCUCAAAAUUCUUAAACUUUUUAGACAUCUGACUAAAGCAUUGUGAUUCUAUUAAUAAGCCUUAAUUUAUCAUAUGAUCUUUUUUCAAUCAAUCUUUCUUUUUACAAUACACUUUUUCAAUCCUUUCUCCUUUAGUAUAUUUUGUAUUAUUUUUUUCAUUUUUUUAUUCAUUCUCAUUAUUUUUUCUAAAAGAGAAAUGAUGAGUUUUUUCUUUUUCACAAUUUUAUGGUUUCUUUCACUACACAUGGCCUUUUUACAUUUCCCAUUGCUUCAACCAAACAUCCCAAAUUAUCCCAAACCCUCAUUUAAGUAGCUAUGAAAAAUCAUUAAAGUUCAAGUUCAAAAUUGGGCAACUAAUGGGUUGUCAAUGUUUAUAGCAAGCAGUUGAAGGUCAAAAGAAAACGUCUUCAUUUCCUCUAUCAUAUUAAUGCAUACAAACAUACUUUAAUCUUGAAACGGGUACAAAUCAAGUUAUAGAACGUACAAUCAUAAAAAAUUAUGCACUCAUAAAAGCAAAAAGGCUUUUUAUGCAAUUGUCAAUUUAAAUCAGAAAACCCUUAUUGUGUUUGACCUCAGUUUCUCACAUUUGGUUCAUUCAGAAAAAGUGAUGUAACAAUGACCUUUAUUUAACCAAAUUUAAUUCACAAUUGUCAAGUUCUAGAUAUAAAGCUCGUCUAGUUGCUCAAUGCUACACUUAGAAAGAAGACAUUGAUUAUUAAGAAACUUUCACUCUAGUAUCUUCGGAUGAUUCUUUUCGAAUAAUAUUGGCACUAGUAGCUCAUUUUGAUUUAGAGCUACAUCAGAUGGAUGUUAAAACUGUUUUUCCAAACGGUGAUAUUAAAGAAACGAUCUACAUGGUUGCAACCAAAAUACUUUGUGUCAAUUAGCUCAAGUUAAUGGUAUGCAAGUUAAUGGUAUGCAAAUUAAAGAAAUCCAUAUAUAGCCUUAAACAAGCUUCUCGUCAAUGAAAUCACAAGUUCCAUCAAGUUAUUACCUCGUAUGGUUUUUAGGCAAGAUAUAGGACUAUUGCAUGAGACCAAGAGAUUUCUAAUGAAGAAUUUCGAAAUGAAAGAUCUUGGGGCCGCUUCUUUUGUAUUAAGUAUUCAGAUACUAAGAGAUCCUCUCAAGGUAUCCUAAGGUUGUCACAAGAAAGAUAUAUAGAUAAAAUCAUAGAUAGAUUUGGCAUGAAAGAAAGUAAACCAUGAAAGAAAGAAAAUCAUGUUAAGAAUUUUGGAAAGGUGCAUAGAAAUGUAUUACACCAUACUUAAUGAGAAAGGAACUUCGUAUUUUUUAUGACUUCGCUAUUGUGUAACUAUCCAUUUAUUCAGCAUCUCAAUCAUUUCUAAAAAAGGAUGAUAAUAAAUCAACCUUGGCCAGAGUGUAGGAAAGGCUUUCUUACAAUGCUUCUAUUGUGAGAAAGGAACUUUGUGCUCUUAGUACUCGGUAAUCAUCCUGAUGUUCUGCAAUUUGAUUAUGAAAACGUUUUGUUAUUUAAUCAUCGUGAUAUUGAUAAAUCAUUUUUAACGGGUGUGAAGAAAAUGUUUUGUUAUGAUACUUUUAUUGUGGCCAUAGACCAUCAACCAUUACUUAUUAUCACUAUUCACUUUCCUUGUGAUUAAACUUUCUCUUGAUUUGCAUAUAGAGAUGGAAACAAGUCGAACUGGCUUGAACUAGAACUCAGCUCGAUAAGGAUAUGCUCAAUUUGAAACUCAACUCAAGUUUGAUAAGGGUUAUUUUUUAGCUCGGGUUCAACUCAUUUAAGUUCGCAAAUUGCUCAACUCAACUUGAAUUGGUUCAUUUAUAUAACUCAAUUAAUAAAUUUAUUUUUAAAAAAAAAUAUUACAUAAGGUUAAAUAUAUAUAUAUAUAUAUAUAAAACCUUGUUUAUAUAUAUAAUAACAAUAAAUAUAAAAAUUAGUUAUAUAUGUAUAUAACCUUGUAAUUAUAUUAAUCUCGUUUUAGUACUAACUUAAGUGAAGAAGAAAAUGAAGUAAGAGAAAAUGUUAGAUUAUUCAUAAAUGUUAGGGUUGUAAUUUGUUCACCAAGUGAGAAUCAUUAAAGAUAUAAUUUUGUUCAAUUUUAAGAUUUGUCUAUGAUGGAUGUUAAAGCCUAGGUUAUUUUUUAGAAGAAUUUUGAUUGCCUAAAUGUUGGGGUGUAAUCAUUUUGAGGCUGAAAUAAACAAAUGGAAAGUAAUUACACUAUAUAAUAUGAGAUGGGCAAGUCUCAUUUUUCAUGUUUUUCAAAGUUAUCAUCGAAAAGAUUAUAAAUGUAUCGAUACUAUUGUACAUUAUAUACUGACAAUGCUUUUUUUAAUUGGACUAUUCUUGAAAAAUAGACACCAUCUCGUGUACUUCUUCUUCUUAUUCUUAUAUUUAAAUGUAUAAAAUAUAAUUAGAUUUUGAUUUCUUCCAUCACAUAUUUCAUAAAACAAUUCAUAUCAACAUAAUUAUUUCUUAAAUUUUGUUGCAUAAAAAUAUUUUAAUUAAAAAAUCAAAUAAAAUGAAAUAAAAACUUUGGAUUAUAAUAUGGGAUAUUAACUAUGAUACUUCUAAAUAAGAAACUAAAAAAGCUCAAGGGCUUAGGAUCUGAGUUGUUGUCUUCGAUUCAUUUGGAGAAUUAAAAUAAUUUAGUUAAGAAGUGUGUGAAACUCUUAUUCUUUUAAGUGCGAAGUAAAUGCAAUAUCAAUGAAUUCAAUAGGUAUAAUAUAAUAUAUAUAAUUAUAUUAGUUAAAUUACAUAAGAACAUAUAGAUUGAUGAAGGGUAUUGCAUGUAAAACUUUCAAGGUAGAUUUUUUUAUUAAUAAUAAUACAUAGGUAAAACUCUAGUUUUAUUAAUAUCUCGUGGCUCACUAUGAGCUCUUACAUGAUAGUAGAUAGCAGCUUAGUAAAGAGUGAUCUAAAUGGAAAAGAUAAGACCCCUUCUUCCAUGCCUUCCCUCCUUCUCCCUUUGUUGUUGCUGCUGAGGUUGAGCAUUUGCAAAGUAAGAUUGUUGUUGGUUCUUAAUUAAUCUCUCAACAUCUUCAACAGAACCAGGGAAUGUAAGCUCCUUCACUUCUUUAUCUAACUGUCUUAUCAUAUUGUCUUCAGAACCUUUCAAUUUUCAAUAAUUUUCAAACAUAACAAUACGAGUUAGUAAUGCCAAAACCAAAGUCAUAAAGCAAAUAUUAUAAUUUACAAUUAGGUAUUUGUGCCAAAAGUUUACUUUGUUGCCACAUUGGCUUCGUCCAAAGAUAUAGUUGGUGAUUUAGCUAUCAAUUUUAUAACCGUGUAUCUACCUUUUAAACAGCAUGUUUAGGUUAAAUUAAAAUAUAUUUAAUUAUAAACUUUGAAGUUGAAUAAUGUUUAUGGUACUUGCAAGGAAAUUCCUCUGGUUUUCGUUAGCAUUGAUGCCAAAUCCAAGCAAGCGAAGAUUUGAGGAAGCGUUGAUGGAAAUUGGAUGACCUGCUGGAAUUACGAAAAUGUCACCUUCUGAUAAUUUAGCAUUGUACCUUCUCACUUCUUCCUGUUCUUGCUCAUCUUGUUGUCGUUCUUGAUCUCUUAUACCCACCAGUUCAUAAUUUCCUUCUCCUUUAUCAACCACGACUACAAAUAUGGCCUUUGAGUUAUAGUGUGGUAACAACAAACCUCCCUAACAUAAAAAAAUCAAAUCAUUAGUAAUAGUAUUGUUGUCUAAGACACAACACCGGUGAAUAAGUACAAGGAAUUGUGUGUAUUGUUAUUUGGGGUGGGAUGUAAAUAAUGUACCUCGUUAAUUUCUAUGAAGGUCAGAGAGAUAUCCAAAUCCUGAGCUUGAGGGUUUCUGUCCGGGGUGAUCUCAUAGAAGUUGCCAAACUUGUUUGAAUAAAUGGGUACAUUGCUUCUCAAGUUGAAGGGGCCAGAUUCAGAUGGUUUGCCUUUUCCUGAUGAUGAUUGAGCAUGUUUUCUCAAUUCUUGGAUCUGUUCCUUUGACACUCUCACUAUCACCCCCUCAUCUUGGUGGCUCUGCUCUUGUCCAUGCCAUUGCUCGUCAUCUUCCUGCUCGUCCUAAUUUCCUAAAAGAAUAUUUUGUAUCUCUUCAUAACGGGUCUAUAUUUGAAAUCCAAACAAACAAAUAUGUGAUCAUUAGUACAUAUACUCAAUAAAUAAUUGUGCAACCAACGCAGAUCAGAUGUCAUACAUUGAAGGUGGCCUCUAAAGUGUUCCUACUGAAGCCGUUGAAGUAAGACUGUUGGUCUUUAGUACUUGAUGGAUAGAAAUCCUAUAAAUAUACAAAUAUAGAGAGAAAGGAGGAAGAAAUUAAAAUUAUAUGGUGUUAAAUAUGCAAUGAGUGCAUAGAAAAUUAGAUGAUAUAAACAUAAAAGAUAAUAUGAUUGGAGAAAGAACAUUACAUAGAAGUUGCCAGGGUUGUUGAUGGGUAUUGCGAGCUUGACUACUCUAAGGUUCUGGUUGUCAUCCAAGUUAAGGAUAUAAGAAGUUGUUCCAGCUGGGAGUCUAAGAGCAUCGCCAUACUCAAGGUUAUAUGCUUGUCUUUUAUCAGGGUUGACUAUCAUGAUUGUGGCUCUACCUACAAUCCCAAAAUAAUGAAUGUAACAAAUCAUUCAUUCUCAUUAAUUAAUUGGUAGAAAUGAAUACUACUAGUAGUAAGUAAGGUUUUAAAUUUAGGUUAGCGACCUCAAUUUAAAUCCUUGAUAAUAGUUACCAUUGAGUACAACGAGGAUGUAGUCAGCAUCAGAGUGUUUAGGGAGAAUGAGAGUGUUAGGUUUUGAUUGGAACUCCACAAUGCGGUAGUUUUGGAGAUUCUCAAGUCUAUUGGUUCUCUGGUCAAACCUCUCAAGCACACGGAUUUGGCCAUUCCUAUUUCUGUAAAGAGUUUGGAAUCUUUCAGAGCUGAAGUAAUAAGGGUUCCUCUGUCUGCGUGAGUCUGAGCGCUUGCUCUCUCUCUUCCCUUUGUUCCCUCCUCUCAUAACCACUUUGCCUACCUGAGCUUGAGCUAGAUCCUUGCUCUUGCUCUCUCUCUUCCCUUCUACUUUGAGGUCGUUGUCUCCUCGGUUGCCACUCUUCUUCCUCCUCUCUCCUUCCAUGUUGAGGUUGUUGUUCUUGCUCCCUCCCUCUACUAGGUUCUCUCCUUUGUUCACGCUCUUCCUCUCGGCUUUCUUCGCUCUCGCUCCUACCACGUGAUGGCUCACGAUUACGUUCCUCCUCUCUCCUAUGCUCUC
rnacentral:lncRNA from 1 species